rnacentral:rRNA from 1 species
GCGGCGUGCCUAAUACAUGCAAGUAGAACGCUGAAGAGAGGAGCUUGCUCUUCUUGGAUGAGUUGCGAACGGGUGAGUAACGCGUAGGUAACCUGCCUUGUAGCGGGGGAUAACUAUUGGAAACGAUAGCUAAUACCGCAUAACAAUGGAUGACACAUGUCAUUUAUUUGAAAGGGGCAAAUGCUCCACUACAAGAUGGACCUGCGUUGUAUUAGCUAGUAGGUGAGGUAACGGCUCACCUAGGCGACGAUACAUAGCCGACCUGAGAGGGUGAUCGGCCACACUGGGACUGAGACACGGCCCAGACUCCUACGGGAGGCAGCAGUAGGGAAUCUUCGGCAAUGGGGGCAACCCUGACCGAGCAACGCCGCGUGAGUGAAGAAGGUUUUCGGAUCGUAAAGCUCUGUUGUAAGUCAAGAACGAGUGUGAGAGUGGAAAGUUCACACUGUGACGGUAGCUUACCAGAAAGGGACGGCUAACUACGUGCCAGCAGCCGCGGUAAUACGUAGGUCCCGAGCGUUGUCCGGAUUUAUUGGGCGUAAAGCGAGCGCAGGCGGUUUGAUAAGUCUGAAGUUAAAGGCUGUGGCUCAACCAUAGUUCGCUUUGGAAACUGUCAAACUUGAGUGCAGAAGGGGAGAGUGGAAUUCCAUGUGUAGCGGUGAAAUGCGUAGAUAUAUGGAGGAACACCGGUGGCGAAAGCGGCUCUCUGGUCUGUAACUGACGCUGAGGCUCGAAAGCGUGGGGAGCGAACAGGAUUAGAUACCCUGGUAGUCCACGCCGUAAACGAUGAGUGCUAGGUGUUGGAUCCUUUCCGGGAUUCAGUGCCGCAGCUAACGCAUUAAGCACUCCGCCUGGGGAGUACGACCGCAAGGUUGAAACUCAAAGGAAUUGACGGGGGCCCGCACAAGCGGUGGAGCAUGUGGUUUAAUUCGAAGCAACGCGAAGAACCUUACCAGGUCUUGACAUCCCGAUGCUAUUUCUAGAGAUAGAAAGUUACUUCGGUACAUCGGUGACAGGUGGUGCAUGGUUGUCGUCAGCUCGUGUCGUGAGAUGUUGGGUUAAGUCCCGCAACGAGCGCAACCCCUAUUGUUAGUUGCCAUCAUUCAGUUGGGCACUCUAGCGAGACUGCCGGUAAUAAACCGGAGGAAGGUGGGGAUGACGUCAAAUCAUCAUGCCCCUUAUGACCUGGGCUACACACGUGCUACAAUGGUUGGUACAACGAGUUGCGAGUCGGUGACGGCAAGCUAAUCUCUUAAAGCCAAUCUCAGUUCGGAUUGUAGGCUGCAACUCGCCUACAUGAAGUCGGAAUCGCUAGUAAUCGCGGAUCAGCACGCCGCGGUGAAUACGUUCCCGGGCCUUGUACACACCGCCCGUCACACCACGAGAGUUUGUAACACCCGAAGUCGGUGAGGUAACCUUUUGGAGCCAGCCGCCUAAGGUGGGAUAGAUGAUUGGG